rnacentral:rRNA from 1 species
UGGGGAAUAUUGGACAAUGGGCGAAAGCCUGAUCCAGCCAUGCCGCGUGUGUGAAGAAGGUCUUCGGAUUGUAAAGCACUUUACGUUGGGCGGACGGGCAGUAAUCGCAUACCUUGCUGUUUUGCCGUUACCGACACACUAAGCACCGGCUCACUCUGUGCCAGCAGCCGCGGUAAUACAGCGGGUGCAAGCGUUAAUCGGAAUUACUGGGCGUAAAGCGUGCGUAGGCGGCUAAUUGAGUCGGAUGUGAAAUCCCCGGGCUUAACUGGGGAAUUGCAUUCGAUACUGGUUAGCUAGAGUGUGGGAGAGGAUGGUAGAAUUCCAGGUGUAGCGGUGAAAUGCGUAGAGAUCUGGAGGAAUACCGAUGGCGAAGGCAGCCAUCUGGCCUAACACUGACGCUGAGGUACGAAAGCAUGGGGAGCAAACAGG